UGUUAAAAAUUCAAUCUAUUUGUCUUGUUAAAAAUUGACGUAGAUGAUGGAAUAACUAAACAGUGACAUGUGACAUACCACAUUUACCUCAUGUUAACAUAUAACGAUUAUUUUUUAAUCGUAAAAAUAGAUAAAAUUUUUAAUA
rfam:Gossypium raimondii Chr06_contig_58, whole genome shotgun sequence.